rnacentral:misc_RNA from 1 species
UUCUUGUCGUCGAUUUCCAGCGAGCCCUUGAUGGACGUGCCGUUGCCGUCGAUGACGAUAUCCUCGAAGCGUGUGCCUUGAGGCUUUUGAAUGACGUUAAAAGUCAUCUUGGUCGCUUUGCCCGCGACCUUGGUCCAGCCCGGCAACAGGUUAUCGAUACGCGCCGCGGUCAGAUCGGCUUCGACGCCGAAGCGAUUGUCACGAUUGUCGCCUUCGCCGCCGGCAAUCUUGCCGGUCAGUUUGAUCGGAAU